rnacentral:miRNA from 1 species
AACGCCAUUAUCACACUAA